rnacentral:tRNA from 1 species
GCGGGUAUGGUACAAAGGCUAGUAUAUCUCCCUUCCAAGGAGAAGAUACGGGUUCGAUUCCCGUUACCCGCU